UUUUUUGUCUUUUUUUUUUUUUUUUUUUUUCAGGGCAGCACCCAUGGCCUAUGGAAGAUCCCAGGCCAAGUGUUGAGUCAGAGCUACAGCUGCCAGCUAUAUACCACAGCUCAUGGCGACACCAGAUCCUUAACCAACUGAGCAAAGCCAGGGAUUGAACCUGCAUCCUCACGGAUACUAGUCAGGUUCAUUACUACCGAGCCACAGUGGGAACUCCCUAAAUUUUUUAUAUCACUUUAUCCAGGAUUCCCUUUUUUUCUUUAUUUUGUUUUUGGUUUUUUUUUGGAACCUAUCCUAAGGUUAUUUUAUUAUUAUAAAAAUUAUUCAAAGUUUACAUUUAAUAUAAAUAUGUUAAAUAUUGUUAAAUGUUAUCAUUUAUAUUGAGAAAAAUUUGCAAACCAAAUAUUUAUUGGAGAACUAUUUGUAGUGAAAAAAAAAGUGGAAAUGAAUUAGGCCCAGCAAUAGGGAAUACUUGAAGUAAUUUUGUCUAUGAAGAAUUUAUAAUGGCAUAGAAAUAUGAUUUGCUACAAUGCUAAAUUCAGAAGCAGAACAUGUAUUUAGAGUUUGAUUAUAACUUGGGGAAAUACAUAUAUAACAUGAAGAGAAAAAAGCCCCAGGAGGAAAUGUUAACAAAAUAUUAAUGCUGACCAACUGAGUGGUAGAUUACUAGGUAAUUAUUUCCUUUUCUCUGUUUUUCAUAUUUUAUGAAAUGCUUAGUGUUGGUUUAUUUAAAUAUUUUGAAAUUUAAGUCUCCGUUUGCAUCGUUGGAGACAGGAUAGGUCGCUGGUUAAGAGUGUGAUUUUAAAAGCCAUAUUGCCUGUGUUCAAAUCCUUGAAUCUCUUUGUUUCUUUACUUGCUAGCUGUGUUUCUUUGGGCAAAUCUCAGUGCUAUUUAAUUCAUCAAGUGUUUAUUGAGUGUCUAGUAUGUGCCAGGCACAGUUCAGCAAACAGUUAAAAUUCCCUGUGUUCAUGGGCUUCCAAUCCGGGGCGAACCGCUGUCAAAAUGGACAGCAGAAGAGUGUCUAUACAUUUAUUUUUUUUAAUUACUCAAUGAAUUUUAUUACAUUUAUAGUUGUACAACAAUCAUCACAACCAAAUUUUAUAGCAUUUCCAUCCCAAACUCUCAGUGCAUCCCCCCACUCCCCAACCUGUCUCAUUUGGAAACCAAAAGUUUUUCAAAGUCUGUGAGUCAGUAUCUGAAAAAACCCAGGACAUUUAUCAAGUUCUGCAAUUCUCUACUUCUCAGUUAAAAACCCUUCUUUCUGAAAGAAUGCUUUUGACAUCAUAUGUAACUGACCACUUUUGCUGGUCAUUUGAAAGGAAUACUGAUUACCCAUCCAGUCAGUUCUUUUUCGGUCUGUACUUACUACAGAUUGUGGGACAUGGCUGGGCCCAAGGGGAACGCAAUUUUCCAAAUCCUUCCUGAGAAUUACUGUUUCCUCAGGUCCUUCCCAGGGAUAAAAUUAUUUAUUAUCUUUUGUAGGUAGCAGUGUCAUAUUUUUACCAUUUUCAACCAAUGAUGCAAUUAUUAGUUUGGUACUUUCAAAGCCAAUAAUGUUGAAGUUCCCAUUUUGGCUUGUGGCUCAGCGGUUUAAGACCCCGACACAGUCCCCGUGAGGAUGAGAGUUUGAUCCCUGGCCUCCCUUGGUGAGUUAAGUCUCCGGCCUUGCCACAAGCUGCGAUGUAGUUUGCAGAUGCAGCUCAGACCUGGUGUUGCUGUGGCCAUGGCAUAGGCCCCAGCUGCAGCUCCUAUUUGAUCCCUGGCCUGGGAACUUUCAUAUGCUACAGGUGCAGCU
rnacentral:lncRNA from 1 species